rnacentral:lncRNA from 1 species
UAAGAGGCUCUAACUCAAGAAUAUCUGUCACACCUCCUUUUUCACAACACCUGUAAGGGCAUAAAUGAGUUUUUCCAAUUAAAGGACAAUCAGAACAGAAAUUAUUAUUAUUAUUCAGAGUCGCCACUUGGGAGAUUGAUGGUGUCCCAAGUCACCGGUCAAAUCACGACCCAAGGAAAAAUAUGACUCUGUAUUACAGUCCGUGAACCACAAAUUCGGAUAAGGAAUUCUUUUAACCCGAGAGAAGGUAUUAGGUAUUCCCGUGUUCCGUGAUUCUAGCACGAUUUCUUAACUGUUUUAUUUGAU